CGGCGGGAGGGGCCCGGCCGGGACGGGACGGGCAGGGGGCGCCGGCUCCGCGCCGACCGCGGGCUUUGCGCGCUGCCCUCGGCUGCGUGCCCGGGUCGUUUCUGGCUGCUUUUCUUUCGGCCCUCCCCGAGGGCUCCGGGGCGGGUGUCCGAGUUUCGGCCCCGACGGGCUCACGCCGAGCCGGUUUCAGGGCUGCGUGGCUGAAUUCGGCCCUUCUGCCCCCAGACUGAGCCCCGCGUGGGCCGCGGAGGCCAGCCGCCUUUGGGGCGCUGGUUGGGCUCUCUCGGUCCCGAGGGGAGCGCGGCCGCGCCCGUGUCACCCUCCCGGCGGGCACGGCCGCGGCGCGGUGCCGGCGGCUGGGAGGGAGGCAGCUGCCAUGGCUGGGCGGUAGAAGAGGAGCCAGGGCAGGCUUAGCCCAGCGACGCCUGCCUCGCCGAGGCCAGGUGUUGCCAGGCUUGUCAGCUCUGCUCCGCAGCAGCCCCUGGUCCGCUGCGUCGUCGUCACCCAGGAACCGAGGGAGGAAACAGUGCAAAAUGGGAACUUAAUACAGUGGGAUUGCUAUUUCCAUUUGGACCUCCAGCUACUUCUACGCUACAAAUACGCAAUGAUAAAUUCAAACGUUGAAAUAAGCUGGAGCAAGGAAUCUUUAACUAAUAUGAAAAUAUAAUGACAUGAAGGAACUGACAAAAAUAAGCAGCACUGCACAGGACCAGGCCUGCUCUGCAUUAAAGAUGUCUCUCUGGAAAGGCUGGGAGAAGCCAGGGAAGCAUUUGUUUGCAACUACAGCACUUAAGCCAACCACGAAUGUGUGCUGACCUUCAAAACUGUUUUAACGAUGCCAGAAAGUCCUUCAAAAAGGCUGUGGGUCAAUGCAGUGCCGGCGCAGCAUGCUGAAGAAGCCCAAGUGACUCUUCUUCUGAUGGAGUGACAGCGACUUCCCACCCAGCUGGACUUAUCUGGCUGUCGAAGGCACUCAAACUGGUGUUGCUGACAAGCAGGGAGCCGAUUCCCCGAGUCCUCCCCUAGUAUUACAUGCCCCCGUGCAGAAUCAUCAGAAAAUUUGGUUGUUUGGUAUAUAUCCAAUGUCAGAAGCAGCCCCCUUGCUUCCUCUCACCAGCCAUCUACGGAUUCAUUUCACUCAAGCUGUGCUGCAGCUGUACGUUGCUGCAAUGCUGUGACAAACAUAUGGAGUUUCAGCCAGUAAGUCCUCCUUCGCUUCCUACACGGCUUCAUUCUCUCUCCCCUUUUUUUUCCCCUCUCUCUACUGUGCCUCGUGCACUACCUCAGAUGCAGCAAGCUUUAAUUUAGUGAAAUAUGCAGGAAUUGAACUGAUAACAAGAAAAUCUCUAUCUAUCAUCACGUAUUUAGAGGAUUUAAUCUGGAAAGCUUUGUAGUCCUCCAUUAAAAUGUUUACAUUCAAGACAUUUCUCUUUUAAUAAAUCACAAUUCACAUUUAGAUAGUACCUUUCACCCUAAUGGCUUGUCUUUACUGAAAAGCUGAUUCCAGUCAUGACUCAUGUUUUGCCUCUCAUUCAAAUUCCUGCCAUAUAAAAAAGACUGGAAUUAAAUAUUUAAGCGGCUUUUAAUUCACAUCAUCUUGCCACAGAUCGAUUCAGCACAACUCAUUGACUGCUAACACAAUCCAUAAUUAAUGUGGCUGCAGGUCACCUGCGUCUGAGUUCUGUUAGUCCUCUUAAGUCUUCCUACAAUGUGGUCUGCGAGCCCAAAGGAACAGCCUGGCGCUGCCAUAACCCACCAGAACAUAAUUCAUAGCAGAGUUCAGCUUAUCAAAAAAAAAAAAUUGUUUUUUUGAGAACCCCCUCAGAAGUCUUUAGGAUCCUUUAGGAGCCCUGGGGAAAUCUUCUUCCUGCGGUAUAUCACAUUAUUAAUGCCAGCGUUUGGUUUUUCCGACCACCCCCUCUCCGCAGCAGGGCUGGCAGAAGAGCAUGUGUCCGCACCUCAGCUGCUCCAGUUCGGAGUCUGGGAGCUUAAACCACUCAGCACACUCCUCAGCAUCAAACCUUGGGAGCAUGGAAAUGACAGGAAAAUAAGGAUAAAGUCUUUGGCAUUCCUACCACCUGCGCACCACCUGCAGUGGUGUUGCUGCCACACAGAUGCCAGCAUUAAUUCCUGCUCCCAGUAAUCCCACUAAGCAACACGCAACCCUACAUUUUCAGCAAAAAACCUUGACAACAGGCUCAUGCAUUCCUGUAUGAAUAGAUUGAUGCAUCCAAAUAUUAUGGCCAUUCAUGUAGAAACUCUGUUUUAAAAUAAAACAAACUGCCAAGUCUAAGGAGGCAGAAAAAGCAGAACGCGCUGCCGCUGCAGCGUUGCCUCGUAUCUCCCCCCAUCUCAGAGACAGACGCCUCCAGCGAGACAGCUCUUCGGGGUGGCCUGAGGAAGUCCUGGUAGUUGUCAUGCAGAUGGUGCAAAACCGGAUGCACUUUUGCAGACCUUUUCAUGAAAUAAGUCUUGUUUCUGCUGAAAAAUUUGAAAUCACAUGAUCUAGUCUAUAGCCCACUGAACUCACGGCACUCAUACUGUAUUACUUCUUUCCAUGACUUAUUGGGCUUUUUCUGUUAAAAAUAAUAACUAUGA